UAAAUUUUAUUCUUUAUUUAAAAUACAGAAAUACUUUUUACAGCAUGAACAGAAAGUACUACAUUGUGUUGAAAUCUUAAGAUUUAGAAAUCUCACUGAAUCAUACCCAGGCCCAUGAUGCAUUGUACUAGAAAAAAAUACUGUAUCAAAAAUGAAAACAAACAAACAAAAACCACCCCAAACUAUUAAAAUCAUUAAGGCCAGUAGUGGUUGUUUAAUGAAAUUGUACAUACCUGACUGUGGUGUACAUACCAAUCACUGUUUAAGAGAAUACAUUAAAAACAGAAAAAUUGACCUCUAAAUAAUGAACUAAUUGCCCCCCUGCAAAAGUUACAAACAAUAACAGGCUUUGAAAGAUUUAAAGCACAUUUUGAUGGCCAAUUUAUGAAAACACUGUGUAUGAUAAAAUGAGUACAUCCAACUCACUCCUGAGUAACACGCUAUACUUACAGCCUGCUUAUGACAAAUGAGAGAUCGUAAAUAUAUGCAGUAAGAAUACAUGUGUGUUCAUACUCAGAUAAUGUAUAUGUAUGCACAGUAUGUGAUGAAAUUAAACUACAGGAUAAAUAACUUUAAUAAACUCUACAUUUUGAGGCACAUGGGGAAUAAAAUUCAUGUUGUUUCUAAGUUAUAGACACAGCAUCUUUUUUUUUCCCUAUCUCGGUACCUUAGUGUAAUGCCGAUUUGCAUUUAACCUAGUUAUCUUAUGUUUGCAUGCUUUGCAAACUGAAUUACAGGACCAAAUUGCCUAUUACAAUUUUCCAUUAUGUAACACAAUUACAUAGGAACACUUUGAGGUGAGAGGAUUGUCCCAAAAUUAGGAAACACUGAUUUCAGCAUGCUUGCAAAGAGCAAAGAUUAAGGAGAGGCCCUUUCCCCAGGUAACAGGGUUUACUGCUGUCUCUCUCCAAUGUAAACGCCACUCACCAUUACAAUGAGCUAUAUUCACUAAUGUCUAGUCUGCAAAAUUAGAUCCACUGGUUUUGUUUUGUUUUUAAAGAAGUUAGGACCUAAAACGACACCAUUUCCUAAGCUGAAAGCUUCUCUCUCCCCGAGCACUUCCAAGUAAAACAUGGAGUUGAACUAAUGUUCCAAGAUUCCAUUACGUUCAUAAGAAAUGAAAGCACAAUGAAUUUUCAUACAAUUAGAAUAUCUGCAGUACAUACGCCGAGUCCUUCUUGCACAUGUGCCUCAGCACAAGCAAAUGACGUGCAAACUUUCACUGAUGACCUUUCUCUUUAGUUUGCAAACCCAAUCAUAGAAACACACAUGAACAUGUGCACACACCCCCUCUGAAAAUCCUUAAUUAGAAGGGAGGAAAGACUGUCUCGGUAGAGAAGAGGGAAGGUAGUCAACCCUGUUUCUACCUUACCGGGAUGAGGAGAUGACCUGUUUGCACCGUUGGUUUCUGGUUGUUUCAUAGUGUGCAAAUAAAGUAAGACGUUUUACCAGGGAAAACAUGCAGCUGCCGCUCUCCCAGAUGGGGCGAGAUCGGGAAGUCUCCCAAGUGGGUAUAUGGGGUAGAGAAGUAGCAUAAAGAGGUGGAAACAUGAGAUUAACUAAGGCUGAGUUGAAAGAAAGAUUCUGAAAAUAAACCUGUCAACUUACAAAACAAAAGACAUAACAUUUCAAUCAUCAUGAUUCUACCUCACGAGCUUGGGAACACGGAUUUCACUAACUCAUGCGCCCUCAUUGGUUAGUGGGAGUCUUGUUGGAUAAUGACAGCCUAGUGUAGCAAGUAAAACACACCUUUUGGCCCCAUUAAGGGAGAAGCUUCAUGAUGUUACAGUCAUACUUCAGUAACAAAAAGUUUUCACUGUUAGUGAAAAAAAAUAGCAGCAAGACAAUUAUGAUAAAAUGAUUUUAUUCAAUCAGUUUAUUUCAUUUUCUUGCAUGUGAAUAGAAUGAAAAGCAAAUUUAUCCACAAAUGUAUUUGAAAUAUGAAAUGUUUAUGUGAAUGAAAUUACUUCUAAGUAUAUACAGUAGAGAAAUUAUCUAAUCAACAGAUAUCUAUAACAUGGAAAUAUUUUCUCUGUAAAGCAAAUGAUAUUUCAUAUUUUCUUGAGGAUAAAAUGAGAGGAGCUCUUUUUUUAAAUCCCCAAGUGAUCAAAGAUAUAGCUAGAAGAUGACAGAAAAUUAAAUAAUAUGGCUUAGAACACAAUGGAUAAUAAAAUAAAUCAAAGUCCCUCAAACUUUCUCACACUUAGACAGAAAUACUUUCAGUUCCUGAGGAGGAAACACGUUUGACUUCUAGAAAGACCCCGAGGUGCGCAAUUGUGCUGGAGAAAGGCCAGGAAUGGAAACUUUUUUUUUCCCAGAGCUAUGCUGCCUUUCUCCUUCCUCUAAACCACGUUUUCUUUUGGGAAAUAUGUCAUCAUCUUUCCCUACUCAGACACAAGUCACUUAAUAUUGCAUAUGUCUCAGUAGUCUUGUAAACGUCCAAAAACAAUACCACACCCCAGAAAUGCUUCUGAUGUCGUCACUGUCCUUCGUUUUUCAUGCUGGUUGGACCCUCCUCACUUACACAUGAGACUCUGGCCUGGCUUUGGUCAUGAGGCUGUACAGUCAGUGCUAACUGGGUCUGGACAAUGCUGUGUUCUGUAAAGAACUUUGGCAUUAUCUGAAUUGCUGCUGGAUGUCAGAGUGACUCCGUGCAGGUUGCAGGAUGGCGGGAGAAGCAGCUUGUGGUUCUCAAGAGGUACCUCGAAUUGGCACCAGGUCACUUAAGCUUCAGGGCUGAAUGAAGAGGGACAGCUAGUGAGAAGGGCAUUGUGCUUCAUGAAGAUUCAAGAGGCACCUCAGUGGGACAUCAGGGUGAGUCACAGAAUGAAACAUUCAGAAGGGUGGAGACUCUCAUUCCCAACCUCAGGCAUUGAGCUGAGAGGGUUAGACCUUGAGAAAUAGAACAAGAGGAGAUUGGGCAGGAAGCGGGGCAGAGUCAAGAAAUACUGUGGGUGGGUGACAACUGGACAGAGAUCAGAACCACUGGGCUAGGGAGAACAGAGUUGGCUUACUCUUAUUUCUUUCUCUACCCCGUCUCUAUCCCCAAAGGCAUUUGAGCUAGUGGAAUGGAGAAAGACAAAAAAGAAAACAAACCAACAAAAAAACACGGAGGCAGCAAGAAAUAAUAGAACGAAAAGUAAAAAACGAGUGGGAAAGAAUGGCCAAGUGGUGCUUACAUGGCCUUGAGAGAAGAGGAUCAAAUAAUAUCUAUAUAAGGUUGCAAAGGAGGAGAGGCAGAAACCAGCAGACAUGAAAAAGAAGAGAGAGGAGUCAACAGCCUAUAACUACUAUGGCAGCACAGCCCCACUGGCCUUGGCCAAAGUAACUGAGCUGGAAAUGCUUUUAAAGGUCAUCUGGAUGACUCCCCUCCUUUUCCAGAUGAGGAGAUGGAGGUACGGGGGGAGGUGACUUGGAGAGCUUGUUUCUUGCACACUGUACCAUGCUCUGCCCCCCAAAGAGCAAUGUGGAACCCACAGGGCAGAAGGUUCUGACCUGGAGGGGAGCUGUCCAGGUGUCCCCCAAGAUCUCUUUUUCCCAACUGUAGGAUUCUAGGGUUCUACGUGUGAAGGUGGUCUCUGUAUGUUUGCAAACACUCACAAUAUCCUCAGCUUACCAUGCCUAAGGAUAUAGCAGUAACAAUACUUUAAAAUGAAUAUGUUGAAUGUUAUACAUCCAAAUACUGUUGUCCUUCAAAAUAGUCCAUACAUUGCUGCUCCUUAUUUUAACACCUGCCUAAUAUAUUUAAGUUAACCAGUGAAUUGUGGCUGUUAUUGUUCAAACUGUUUGUACCAAGUAAGAAAGCACACAAGGAAAAGACAAACGAAUGUGUGUGAAAACACAUGAUUUGAAACCUGAAACUAAUUACCCAUGUCAUGCACCAGGCAUGAGCCCAGUGGCUUUGGCUUUCUCCAAAAAGAAAAAAAAAAUCCACCCUCAAGGGAUGAUGAUGGGUUUCCAACAACACUUUAAAAAGAAUGUAGUUGAGGAUGCUACAUUUAUGGUAGAGGUAGCCUUCGGUCGUACAUCAUUGCUGUAAAGCCACACCUAGUGAGGCGCCAUUAUUUCGUAAUGAGCUGUUUGGAGAAGCAAGGCUUCGGGUGUAUUCCAAAGUUGGAGCCAACAGAAGAGGUUGAUGUUGGCCUGUGCAAGCACCUAGUGCAUGGAACUGACUCUAAGGCUCAGACGAUGUGGUCAAGCCCCAGAGCAGGGUAGGGUGGGAAGACAGCUGAGGUAUAGGUGGUCUGUGUGGUAUAUGUAGACCCUUCAAAUGGAAAGAUGCUGCUGGCCCCACACUGUCUGGCAUCACUGUUUAAUCACCCGUGGCUCUACCUGCCGUCUCUUCCUCUGCAGGAAAUCGAGCCCAAUGCUAAGCAUGGGGAGAACCUCCGGGCUCCUUAUGUAGGAUUUUAAGAGUGCAGAUCUGGGGCCUGUCUUGUGAAAGCACAGUGAAGAAAAGCAAAUCUUCCUCUAAAAGUGUGCUUUUGCCCAGAACUGCUUCUAAGUUGGGGGCAUUUCCUGAAGCCUGGGAGAGUCACAGCGAGUGUUGUCUCCAGGCGGGCAUCUUGGUGAGGUCCACGUGUGAUAACACCACCGAAACCACAAAGGAAUUUACCAUGGGAAGUGUCCCAGCAGUUGCUUAUUAGCAUUAGAACCAUUACACCAAGUCUAUUGUUAGCAGACUUGUUUUCAUUAUCCUUAUCUGGCGGCAGUAAAUAACAGCGAUUCUUUUUCAAGCAAAUGCUAGAUUUCCAAAGAUCCAGCUUCCAAUCGUCUGUGCAGGGAUCAUCUUGGGUUAGGAUAAGCGUCGGAGUGGAUAACACCCCAGAAGCUGAGGUGCCCAGCGCUCUUCAUGCAGGAGCAGGGCGGGACACACAGGAGCUGCCUGCAGGUGGAGGGGGUGAUGCUGCUGGGCUUGAUAUCACAGAAUGGAAACAAGAAGGUUUGUUCCCCUGCAUGUCUGACCGUCUGCUGGACCAUCCCCAGUGUUCUCAGUGUGGCCCUCUCAUGCCACAGGGGAGCGAUGGGGCACAUGGCAAGGCAACAGGAGAGCCCAGCAGGUGCUCAGUUCUUAGAAUGUUUGUGACCAAAAAAAAAAAAAAAAAAUCAGGCCCAUGGACAGGUUUGCACCCCUCUCCUUAAAAAAAGAUUGCGGUUUUUAAAAAAAUCACCUACUCUUUCACAAUUCCAUGUCUUGUUAUCUGAGGUUUUUAAAAAAAGUGAGUCCAAUCCCCUUCCCCUCUGUCCCCAGUGGAGAAGAGCUGAGAAGUGACCCCUUCAGAGCAGAGGUCAGACCGUGCCUGCUGACCGCUUACACAUAUGAAAACCUGGCUGUUUCUUUAGAACAAGAGCAGACUAUUUCCAUCUUUCGAGACCUUCUGACAAUGACUAAAUUUCAGUCCCUGGUCACCUAUGGACAUCUCCAAUUAUCUUCAGAGAUUUGACAACAUUCUCCUAAAACCAUCUCAAAAAUAAUUUUAAAAGAAUUUUAAUAAAAAAAAUAAGAACUAUUCCAUACAGCACAUAGAUACAAAAAUAGGUUAUUGCAGCAUGAAGGGUUGGGGCUGUUAGAAUCGCUGCUUUCAUUGUUUUCCUAAGAAACUUAUGGUGUAGGCCUCCCUCUGUCACUGGUUUCUUUCUCCAGUAAACCAGCCCUAGUCCCAUAUUCCU
ensembl:lncRNA